rnacentral:rRNA from 1 species
AUGAGUAGCUGCUUCAACGGUGGCGCCGGCUGGCCGGAGCCCGUGGUGCGCGUGCAGGCCGUGUCGGACACCUGCGGCGAGACAAUACCUGAGCGGUACGUCAAGCUGCCGUUGGAUCGGCCGUCGGCGACGACCCUCCAACCGGCGGUCUCACAUGGGGGCGGCAGCCUAAACAUCCCGGUAGUGGACAUGUCAAUGCCGGACUCGGGCGAGACAGUCCGUGCCGUGGACGCGGCGUGCCGGGAGUGGGGGUUCUUCCAGGCGGUGAACCACGGCGUGAGCCCUGAGCUGCUGCGGCGGGCGCGCUCGUCGUGGCGCGGCUUCUUCAGGCAGCCAGCCGAGGUGCGCGAGCGGUACGCCAACUCGCCGGCGACGUACGAGGGCUACGGCAGCCGUCUCGGUACCACCAAGGGUGGGCACCUCGACUGGGGCGACUACUAUUUCUUGCACCUCCUCCCGCCGUCGAUCAAGAGCCACGACAAGUGGCCGUCCCUUCCGUCCACCCUACGGGACGCGACGGAGGAGUACGGCGAGGAGGUGGUGAAGCUGUGCCGGAGGGUAUCAAAGGUGCUGUCCAAGGGGCUGGGACUCGACGGCGGGAGGCUGCAGGCAGCGUUCGGCGGGGAGGGCGGCGAGGGGGCAUGCAUGAGGGUUAACUUCUACCCGAGGUGCCCGCAGCCGGAGCUGACGCUGGGCGUGGCGGCGCACUCCGACCCCGGCGGCAUGACCAUGCUGCUCGUCGACGACCACGUUCGGGGGCUGCAGGUGAGGAAAGAUGGCCAGUGGAUCACCGUCGACCCGGUCCCUGACGCCUUCAUCGUCAACGUCGGAGACCAGAUCCAGGUGCUGAGCAACGCGGCGUACAAGAGCGUGGAGCACCGGGUGACGGUGAGCGCAGCGGAGGAGCGGCUAUCGCUCGCCUUCUUCUACAACCCGCGGAGCGACGUGCCCGUGGCGCCCAUGGCGGAGCUGGUGGCGCCGGGACGCCCGGCGCUGUACCCGGAGAUGACCUUCGACGAGUACCGGGCCCACAUCCGGCAGCGCGGCCUCAGCGGCAAGGCGCAGCUACAGUCUCUGCAGAACGCCAACAACAGCGUCGCCUCCUGA